CCUACGGGAUGCAGCAGUGAGGAAUAUUGGUCAAUGGGCGCGAGCCUGAACCAGCCAAGUCGCGUGAGGGAAGACGGCCCUACGGGUUGUAAACCUCUUUUGCCGGGGAGCAACGGGCGCCACGUGUGGCGCCACUGAGAGUACCCGGAGAAAAAGCAUCGGCUAACUACGUGCCAGCAGCCGCGGUAAUACGUAGGGGGCGAGCGUUAUCCGGAUUCACUGGGUGUAAAGGGAGCGUAGACGGCCAUGCAAGCCAGGGGUGAAAGCCCGGGGCCGAACCCCGGGACUGCCCUUGGAACUGCAUGGCUGGAGUGCGGGAGGGGCAGGCGGAAUUCCUGGUGUAGCGGUGAAAUGCGUAGAUAUCAGGAGGAACACCGGCGGCGAAGGCGGCCUGCUGGACCGCGACUGACGUUGAGGCUCGAAAGCGUGGGGAGCGAACAGGAUUAGAUACCCUGGUAGUC
rnacentral:rRNA from 1 species